ensembl:lncRNA
GACCAGGAUAUAAAAGAACCAGUGGGAAUCGAUGGAGCAGUCAGACCAUUAUGACAGAGGCUCUGAUCAUGCUGUGACCAGUGCACUUGCAGCUGGGACCAGUGGACAGCACUCCCUCCAGCUGGAGAUCAGUGACACUGAGGCAGAAGAGAGAGUCAGAGAGGAAGAUGAGGAAGAGGAACUUGUAGUGCUGGAUCCUGAGCAUUCUCUGAUUUACAGUCUAAAGUGGACAGCCUGGCCCUGAAGUUGCUCUACAUGCAGGAGGCCAAUGCUGACCUGCACUCAGACAUCAAAGCCAUAAUAAAUGCUUCACACAAAGCCCA